rnacentral:rRNA from 1 species
AAUGAACGUUGGCGGCAUGGAUUAGGCAUGCAAGUCGGGGGAAUCCCAGCAAUGGGGGAACCGGCGUAAGGGGCAGUAAGGCAUGGGUACCUACCUUGGGGUUCGGGAUAGCCAUCAGAGAUGGUGGGUAAUACCGGAUGACGUCGUGAGACCAAAGCUUUAUCGCCCUUAGAGGGGCCCAUGUGAUAUUAGCUAGUUGGUGGGGUAACGGCCCACCAAGGCGAAGAUGUCUAGCGGGUGUGAGAGCACGACCCGCGCCACUCGCACUGAGACACUGGCGAGACACCUACGGGUGGCUGCAGUCGAGGAUCUUCGGCAAUGAGCGCAAGCUUGACCGAGCGAUGCCGCGUGAGCGAUGAAGGCCUUCGGGUUGUAAAGCUCUUUAGUGGGGAGAAAAGCCGCAAGGUGUGAUCUAUCCCAAAAAUAAGCACGGGCUAAGUUCGUGCCAGCCGCCGCCGUAA